GGAGCCGUAUCUGCACUAAGCAACCGGCACUAAGGAAGGUAGCGUCUUGGCAGCUGGCGGUGUUGUCAUUUCUCACCAGGGGCUGUUGAGUCGGGCGCCCAAUAGGAGCAGGGAUAACGGCACGCGGCACCACCCCAGCUCCCUGGGAGCGGCCGCCCCCUCUGGGCUGGCCUCGCCUGCGGCUCCUCCCGCUGCUGGUGAGCCGGACGGAUGGAGGUAGCGGCAGCCGGAGCCUGAAGCGGCCACCUCGCCCCAACCCGGCCGCCGCCCUGAGCACAACAUGUGUAUUCGAAAUGCAGAGAGCAUAUUAUAGAAGGCUUUGGACUCUUGCUGGUUGUAUACAGUAAUACAAUGAAGGCAAUUGAAUUUAAUUCCCUACGGAUAUUGAUUUCACUACUUUGCUGCCAGUUAUUCAACACUGCAGAGCAUGAAGAUGUAGUAAAGCAUGCAAUAAAGCUGCAUCGUGGGAAAGGUGCUGCUGUCACACAGAGAAAACAGUGGGUCUUAGAAAACUGCAGAAAGCUGUCUGGGCUCCUUCGCCAAAAGAACGUGGUUCUCAACAAACUAAAAAAUGCAAUAAGAUCAGUAGAGAAGGACUUGGGGCUGUCAGAUGAAGAGAAACUUUUUCAGGUGCACACAUUUGAAAUUUUCCAAAAGGAGCUGAAUGAAAGUGAAAACUCAGUCUUUCAAGCAAUCCAUGGACUCCAGAGAGCCCUUCAAGGUGAUUACAAAGAUGUUGUAAACAUGAAAGAAAGUAGUAGACAGCGAUUGGAGGCCUUGAGAGAAGCUGCAAUAAAGGAGGAAACAGAGUAUGUUGAACUUUUAGCAGCAGAAAAACAUCAGGUUGAAGCCCUUAAGAAAAUGCAGCAUCAAAAUAAAAGCCUGUCUAUGCUAGAUGAAAUUCUUGAAGAUGUUAGGAAAGCAGCCGAUAGGCUGGAAGAGGAAAUAGAAGAACAUGCCUUUGAUGACAACAAAUCAGUGAGAGGUGUUAACUUUGAAGCAGUUUUAAGGGUGGAAGAAGAUGAAGCAGACUCCAAGAGAAAUAUUUCAAAAAGAGAAGUGGAAGAUGACCUGGGUCUUAGCAUGCUUAUUGAUUCCCAAAACAAUCAGUAUAUACUUACCAAGCCCAGGGAUUCAACCAUCCCUCGUGCUGAUCACCAUUUCAUAAAGGAUAUUGUGACCAUAGGAAUGUUAUCUUUGCCAUGUGGCUGGCUGUGCACAAUGAUAGGAUUGCCAACCAUGUUUGGGUACAUCAUUUGUGGAGUACUCUUGGGACCAUCAGGAUUAAACAGCAUUAAGUCCAUUGUACAAGUGGAAACAUUAGGAGAGUUUGGUGUGUUCUUCACUCUGUUUCUAGUUGGUCUGGAGUUUUCCCCUGAAAGGCUAAGAAAGGUGUGGAAGAUAUCUUUGCAAGGACCCUGUUACAUGACACUUCUGAUGAUUGCUUUUGGCUUACUAUGGGGACAUUUACUACAGAUUAGACCAACACAGUGUGUCUUCAUUUCUACUUGUUUAUCCUUAUCCAGCACACCCUUAGUAUCCAGAUUCCUUGUAGGGAGUGCUCGAGGAGAUAAAGAAGGUGAUAUCGAUUACAGUAGUGUACUACUUGGUAUGCUGGUAAUGCAGGAUGUACAGCUUGGUUUAUUUAUAGCUGUUAUGCCAACCCUAAUUCAAGCAGGAGCCAGCACAUACUCCAGCAUUGUCAUGGAAAUACUGAGAAUACUGAUACUGAUUGGCCAAAUUCUCUUUUCUCUGGCUGCUGUUUUUCUUAUAUGUCUUGUUAUAAAGACUUAUCUCAUAGGACCAUAUUAUCGCAAGUUGCAUGCGGAGAGUAAAGGGAAUAAAGAAAUCCUCAUUUUAGGAAUAUCUGCUUUCAUCUUUCUUAUGUUAACGAUCACAGAGCUACUGGAUGUUUCAAUGGAAUUGGGAUGCUUCUUAGCGGGAGCACUGAUCUCUUCUCAGGGUCACAUGGUUACUGAAGAGAUUAUGUCCUGUAUUGAACCAAUACGUGACUUUCUUGCCAUCAUUUUCUUUGCAUCUAUAGGGCUUCAUGUUUUCCCCACCUUUGUAAUUUAUGAACUCACAGUCUUGCUAUUUCUUACAUUAUCAGUGGUAAUAAUGAAGAGAGCAUGCUGUUUUAUCUAUCAUACUUCUAAAAACAAAUUGUUUUCUAAAGUUUGUUUUGGCAGUGCUUGUCCUUUCUCUGAUUCUUCCAAAGAGCAGCCAGUAUAUCAAAUGGAUUGUCUCAGCAGGGCUGGCACAAGUCAGUGAGUUUUCUUUUGUUCUGGGAAGUAGAGCACGCAGAGCAGGGAUCAUUUCUCGAGAGGUAUAUCUCCUUAUUCUGAGUGUAACUACUCUAAGCCUUUUGCUUGCCCCAGCACUGUGGAGAGCUGCAACUAUGAAAUGUGUACCAAGACCAGAAAGACGAUCAAGUACCUGACAAGACUUGUAUGGAAAUAAUAAAUUUGCUUUGGAAAGAA